GCGUGAGCUUCGGCAGAGAGAGCAUCUGUGAGCCAAAUUCACCGGUGCUGGGUUUUAAGAUUGUAUUACUGGUGAAGAUUGUGGAGAGAGAGAAAUUUUAAGGAAUAAUUUAUUGAAAAAGCCACAAGGAGAAGAGCCAAGAGUGACACGUGGAGGAGUCCCAGAGGCUUAGUGGUAUAGAUCCACUGUCUCUUUUGGGUAUUUAAUUUAUGAUUUAUAAUGUAUUAUAUUGCCAAUAUUAGGGCUUUUUGUUUAUUGUCAAUUAUAUGAAUAUAUAAAUGUAAUCAUGCCUUUCAAACUA